rnacentral:rRNA from 1 species
GAUGAACGCUGACAGAAUGCUUAACACAUGCAAGUCCACUUGAAUUUGGGUUUUUAACUUAGGUUUGGGUGGCGGACGGGUGAGUAACGUGUAAGAAACUUGCCUCCCAGUUAGGGACAACAUUUGGAAACGAAUGCUAAUACCUAAUUUUAUGUUAAUAGGGCAUCUUUUAAUUAUGAAAGCUAUAAGCGCUGUGAGAGAGCUUUGCGUCCCAUUAGCUAGUUGGUGAGGUAACGGCUCACCAAGGCGAUGAUGGGUAGCCGGCCUGAGAGGGUGAUCGGCCACAAGGGGACUGAGACACGGCCCUUACUCCUACGGGAGGCAGCAGUGGGGAAUAUUGGACAAUGGACCGAGAGUCUGAUCCAGCAAUUCUGUGUGCACGAUGAAGUUUUUCGGAAUGUAAAGUGCUUUCAGUUGGGAAGAAACAAAUGACGGUACCAACAGAAGAAGUGACGGCUAAAUACGUG